rnacentral:rRNA from 1 species
AGUGAACGCUGGCGGUAGGCCUAACACAUGCAAGUCGAACGGCAGCACAGGAGAGCUUGCUCUCUGGGUGGCGAGUGGCGGACGGGUGAGGAAUACAUCGGAAUCUACUCUGUCGUGGGGGAUAACGUAGGGAAACUUACGCUAAUACCGCAUACGACCUACGGGUGAAAGCAGGGGACCUUCGGGCCUUGCGCGAUUGAAUGAGCCGAUGUCGGAUUAGCUAGUUGGCGGGGUAAAGGCCCACCAAGGCGACGAUCCGUAGCUGGUCUGAGAGGAUGAUCAGCCACACUGGAACUGAGAAACGGUCCAGACUCCUACGGGAGGCAGCAGUGGGGAAUAUUGGACAAUGGGCGCAAGCCUGAUCCAGCCAUACCGCGUGGGUGAAGAAGGCCUUCGGGUUGUAAAGCCCUUUCGUUGGGAAAGAAAUCCAGCUGGCUAAUACCCGGUUGGGAUGACGGUACCCAAGGAAUAAGCACCGGCUAACUUCGUGCCAGCAGCCGCCGCCG